CGACCGGCGCACGGGUGAGUAACACGUAUGCAAUCCACCUGUAACAGGGGGAUAACCCGGAGAAAUCCGGACUAAUACCCCAUAAUAUGGGCGCUCCGCAUGGAGAGUUCAUUAAAGAGAGCAAUUUUGGUUACAGACGAGCAUGCGCUCCAUUAGCCAGUUGGCGGGGUAACGGCCCACCAAGGCGACGAUGGAUAGGGGUUCUGAGAGGAAGGUCCCCCACAUUGGAACUGAGACACGGUCCAA
rnacentral:rRNA from 1 species